AUCUACUUGUUAUUCUGUGAUUAUAAACAACCAUAUACCUGCCUAUGUUUUAGUUUGAGAAUCUCAUGGCUAAGUCUAUGAUAGAGUUUGUUAUUUUAUUCAAUGUGAGAUUCUUAAUAUUGCCACAUUUUGGUGGCUGCUGAAGUCAAUUGUGGCUUUCACUCUAUUGACACCGAUAAGCUCUUUCCUUUUUAUCUCUUCACUCACACAUUUCAUGAAAUACACUAAUUUCGGAACAGCUUCUUAAUCAUCAAAUCUUAAAGCAUCAUACAAUUAAUCACUCUCAGAUCCAUCAAAGUCUAUCUCAUUAUCAGGAUGUUCCAAAUUUAUGUAACUUGAUUGUGAACAAUGCAAUGGGAGUGGACUAUAGUCAAGAUCUAUAUUUGGAAAAAAUGACUAGGAACAUAAGUUGUUAUACUAAUGUGAAUAAAAUCAAUAAAAAUAACUAUAAUUCUACCAUUCCUGGGUUUUCACACUGAUAAAUUAGAGUUAACUUCAAUAGGAUUUGUAGGCAAUUAGAUUUGAAAUAAUAUAAUUAAACUAAAAUUAUUUAACUAAACCUUUUAAAAUAAAUAAACUAAACUAAUUUGAAUAAUAUAAUCACUCCAAUCUAAUUACAGUUAAUUAGUGAUAAUUAAACAACUAAAUUGCGUUCAAUCUCUUUUUUUUCUCAUUAUGUUUAUUGUUUUUGUUUUUUGGGCCAAUCAGAAGUUUACACAUUCGAGACAAAAUUAAUUUAAUAGUUUAUUGAUUUUGAUUACUCUAUUAUGAUUGCAUUAUUGUAUAUAUUAGUUGUUUUUAGGGUUGAUACAUGCUACUAGAUUUUGACCCUUUUUAUUUUGCUAAAACCUGUAGAAAGAUGUACAUGGGGUUGUGCAAUAUAGAUAUAGAUAAAUGUCGUCAAUGUGUUGGUGUAGGAUAAAUUGAUGAUGUAAAUAUUUUUGCCCAAUCAUUACAUAAUUUAUGUACGCUUACAUUUUUUUGAUAAUGCAGUUAAAUAACUUUCCCCCCUGAGAAAACUAUAGGACGGAAAGAUAAUAUUUAAAGAUGUGAAAAUAAGCAUACCUUUUCGUUAGUUUUACUUUCAAAUUAACUUGAGAGAAUCUACAUUUGCCAAAUAAGUACUUAUCAAUAAAUUUACUUAUUUAAAAGCAAUCUACAAAAUGAUAAAAACUUCAAUCAUGUCCCACUAAUUGAAGUCCAUUACCUUGCCCACUGCAUCAGAAUUCCAAAUGAAGGGCAUGUUGAAGCAUUUGGUUUAAGACCAUUUGGUUCUGCUCUAUUAUAGUAAUCAUCAUUCAUUAUAUUAUAAUAAGCAUUUCCAUUUUGUUUGCCUUUCAAUCUCAAGCCAUUGGAAUUGAUUUUGACUUCCCAGCUGCAAGUUGCUAUUUGAGAAGACUUACUAACCCUUCAAGAUAUGAACUGGCCAUGAUUAUGACUCAACACCCAUUUUUAGCUAUACAUCAAUGAACUCAGUUUUGGUUCUUAUAAUAAUAGAGUAAAAAUAGGACAACUCAUUAUACGAGACUCUCACUUAAUACAGUAGGAUGAUAGAUGUAUGCAAACUUAC